GAUGAACGCUGGCGGCGUGCCUAAUACAUGCAAGUCGAGCGAACGGACGAGAAGCUUGCUUCUCUGAUGUUAGCGGCGGACGGGUGAGCAACACGUGGAUAACCUACCUAUAAGACUGGGAUAACUUCGGGAAACCGGAGCUAAUACCGGAUAAUAUUUUGAACCGCAUGGUUCAAAAGUGAAAGACGGUCUUGCUGUCACUUAUAGAUGGAUCCGCGCUGCAUUAGCUAGUUGGUAAGGUAACGGCUUACCAAGGCAACGAUGCAUAGCCGACCUGAGAGGGUGAUCGGCCACACUGGAACUGAGACACGGUCCAGACUCCUACGGGAGGCAGCAGUAGGGAAUCUUCCGCAAUGGGCGAAAGCCUGACGGAGCAACGCCGCGUGAGUGAUGAAGGUCUUCGGAUCGUAAAACUCUGUUAUUAGGGAAGAACAUAUGUGUAAGUAACUGUGCACAUCUUGACGGUACCUAAUCAGAAAGCCACGGCUAACUACGUGCCAGCAGCCGCGGUAAUACGUAGGUGGCAAGCGUUAUCCGGAAUUAUUGGGCGUAAAGCGCGCGUAGGCGGUUUUUUAGUCUGAUGUGAAAGCCCACGGCUCAACCGUGGAGGGUCAUUGGAAACUGGAAAACUUGAGUGCAGAAGAGGAAAGUGGAAUUCCAUGUGUAGCGGUGAAAUGCGCAGAGAUAUGGAGGAACACCAGUGGCGAAGGCGACUUUCUGGUCUGUAACUGACGCUGAUGUGCGAAAGCGUGGGGAUCAAACAGGAUUAGAUACCCUGGUAGUCCACGCCGUAAACGAUGAGUGCUAAGUGUUAGGGGGUUUCCGCCCCUUAGUGCUGCAGCUAACGCAUUAAGCACUCCGCCUGGGGAGUACGACCGCAAGGUUGAAACUCAAAGGAAUUGACGGGGACCCGCACAAGCGGUGGAGCAUGUGGUUUAAUUCGAAGCAACGCGAAGAACCUUACCAAAUCUUGACAUCCUUUGACAACUCUAGAGAUAGAGCUUUCCCCUUCGGGGGACAAAGUGACAGGUGGUGCAUGGUUGUCGUCAGCUCGUGUCGUGAGAUGUUGGGUUAAGUCCCGCAACGAGCGCAACCCUUAAGCUUAGUUGCCAUCAUUAAGUUGGGCACUCUAAGUUGACUGCCGGUGACAAACCGGAGGAAGGUGGGGAUGACGUCAAAUCAUCAUGCCCCUUAUGAUUUGGGCUACACACGUGCUACAAUGGACAAUACAAAGGGCAGCGAAACCGUGAGGUCAAGCAAAUCCCAUAAAGUUGUUCUCAGUUCGGAUUGUAGUCUGCAACUCGACUACAUGAAGCUGGAAUCGCUAGUAAUCGUAGAUCAGCAUGCUACGGUGAAUACGUUCCCGGGUCU
rnacentral:rRNA from 1 species